rnacentral:misc_RNA from 1 species
AAUUUCACGGGUUAGCAAUGGUCAUGGCGAUUUAAUCGAACCAACUCUUGAAACAAUGUAUGAUGAAAGUUUACUCGUGACUAUGAGUCGAUACUGCUGAUAGCAUUGAUACAAAAUUGCAUUUAUCGUAACACUACGCGGACGACGAGCGUUUAUAUAUUUAUAAUGCGAUUUUUCAUGUAUGUGUUGUCAGAUACUAUUUGAUUACACUGGUGUAUAUGUAUCAUAUGUAUUACCACGUAUGGAAUUUAAUGUUUUCCACUUGUCGUCAUUUCGUCUAACAAGGAGCAUCCAAUAGAACGAAUAAAUAGAGAAGGAGUGGACGAGAAGGAGAAAAAAUGGAAAGAAGGAUUGCACAAUUUGGCGCGUGACCGCAGCCUGGUGGAACGCGCAUUCACGUACAAGCGCAUUCACGAAUACGCGAUUUAUCUCGUAUGAGUCGCGUGGCGGCUAGAUUCUAUCUUAUAGGUGACUGUGUAAUUCACGAUAUGGUUGUCGAGUAAAAUAUCUUCGUGCCACGCGAACCUAAGUGGCUUGCGAGCUUGCUUUCGCGUAUUUGAUACAUUUUG